AAUAGAUACUGUUAGAUCGUUGUUUUUUUAUUUUACUAUUAUAUAUUUUUAUUAUUAUCAUUAUUUUUCUUUAGUAUUAUGAUAUUAUUUUUGUGUUGUUGUUUUUUCUUUUCUAUUUUUUUAAAUUAUUUUUUUGUGUUUUGUGCUUGUCUUUUCUUUUUGCCCCCUGGUAUGGUUAUGUUAUUGUAAUGUAUAUGUCUAUGGGGGUAUGUGUCAUGCUACCAAAAAAGAAAAUUGUCCUUAAUGAUUAUUGUAUCAUGAUACCUGUCAAAUUAAUAAAGAGAUAUUGUAAAAAUAAAUAAAUAAAAAA